rnacentral:lncRNA from 1 species
CGGCGAUUCCAGAUCUGGAUCUAGGGUUUUUCUCCAUCACGUUUCUACUACUCCAAUUCCUCAUGGAAAUCAUACAGUCGUCUCAAAAUCAAACAGUCCUCUCAAAAUCAAACUCAAGUCUAGGUUUUGAACUUCAUGGAGCGUUGAAGAUGAUGCAAGCAGCUGCUUUAAUUGGUGGUGGUUAGCAACGAUAGAGAUGGUGGUGGUCUGAGGCUUGUGGUGUUAAUGGUUAGCGUCAACAGAUUCUGGUGACCCAACCUAGGGUUUAGAGCUUCGACCAGAUUCUGGUAGCCCUAUCUAGGGUUCUGACCAUAACCCCAAUCCGGUGAAAGUUGUAGAUAGUAAAGGAAUGACAAUGAAUUUCGUGUUGUGUGGUACCGUAUCUCUCAUUUCACCAUUUUUUAAAAAUUUUAAGUUAUAGCAAAUGACGAGGUUUUAAUUUUAGCUAAGGUUCAUAAAAACUUCAUUAGAGAUGAUGGGGUUUUAGUUUUUGAAUUGGGGGGUUUUGGGUUUAAUGGGGUUGUUGAUAUUUUUUUGUUAAACUAAAAACCAGUUGAUACUUAUGAGUCAAAUGAAGUUAGCUGAGAUACAUAUGCUACUUGAAGCAACUUUGUCAAGCCAAUUAAGAUUAAUGAAGAUCUUCUAAAAGAACAAAAUAUGUGAAGAAAGAGUAUAAGGAAAUCCACGAGGGUAGUUCUCUUUUUAUACAACUACUGUAGCUGUUCAGCAUAACCCCCCCCCCCACACACACACACACGUGAGAGGUGAUAUUAGCCCGAUUACCUUUAAAAUGGGUCGAUUUGGGUUUAGUUUUGCUGGGCUGAGUUGCAGGUCACAAGGUAGAGGUUGUGGUGAUAUUUGUGCAGUUCUGAACAGGUCAGAUUGGGGUAUUGGGACCUGGAUGUGGGGAAGAUGAGUUGUUUCUGAUGGUCAAUCUACUGCUUAUAGAAGUUAUGUUGAAAGGUUCAUGGCCCUUGAUGAACUUUAGUCUGAUCCAAACUCAAAGAGCCUGAAGAUCGGUGACCUUUGGUGGCAACGGUCAUGAAGAAGCUAUGGUAGCAGUCGGAAUCAAGACUAGAUGGAAGUGGUUUUGGGUUGCUAGGGUUCUGUCAUGAACCCAGGCAGUGUUGACACCUUAGAAAAGCUCGAUGAUGAUUAGGGGUUGAUUCCAGGUAGUCAAGAACAGAAUAAGAUCGAUGGCUCCUUUCAUCCAGUUUCGGUCGUUCAUCGGGUGCCGCUACGAAACCAAAGAUGGUUGGGCAUUGUCUCUUCACUCUUGAAUUAUCAUUCGUAGCCUUUAUCCAGUUUCUGUUUGUCGAUUUGUAUGGUCGUGGUUUUGGCGAUUAACGCUAACUAAAACAAUGCCGGCUAUUAGGGAUUGGUUAUGGUAUGUCUCCAGGUCUGAUUCCUUUCAUUGCUGAUAUACAGUCUGAACAUAGGUAACUUUAAUUUCAAUCUUAGUGCAGCGGUCCGGUUUGUCAAUUGUUUAUUGUCACCAUCUAUUGGUUUUUAGAUACUAUUUUCUAAGCGUGUUUGGUUGAUUGAAUAGACUUGAUUUAGAGUUUGGUACCGGGGUGUUAUUGGCGGUGAUUCACUAAAUCUGGGAAUUGCAGAGUUUGG